CACGUAGGGUGCGAGCGUUGUCCGGAAUUAUUGGGCGUAAAGAGCUCGUAGGCGGUUUGUCGCGUCUGCUGUGAAAGACCGGGGCUCAACUCCGGUUCUGCAGUGGGUACGGGCAGACUAGAGUGAUGUAGGGGAGACUGGAAUUCCUGGUGUAGCGGUGAAAUGCGCAGAUAUCAGGAGGAACACCGAUGGCGAAGGCAGGUCUCUGGGCAUUAACUGACGCUGAGGAGCGAAAGCAUGGGGAGCGAACAGG
rnacentral:rRNA from 1 species